AUGAGUGCUAAGGUAAGGAAGCUAACCGAGCCUAGGAGGAUCCACUUAGGUAGCUGGAACAUAGGGUCGCUGACAGGUAAGCUUCGGGAGCUAGUUGAUACAAUGGUGAGGAGAGAUGUUGAUAUCCUUUGCUUCCAAGAAACCAAAUGGAGGGGGCAGAUGGCGAAGGAGGUGGAGGAUACCGGCUUCAAGCUAUGGUACACGAGGACAGCUGCAAACAGAAAUAGAGUAGGCAUCUUAGUCAACAAGAGCCUCAAGUAUGGAGUGGUAGACGUCAAGAGACGUGGGGACCGGAUUAUACUGGUCAAGCUGGUAGUUGGGACCUGUUCUCAAUGUUAUCAGCGCAUAUGCCCCACAAGUAGGCCACAACGAGAACACCAAGAGGAAGUUCUAGGAAGGCCUGGAGGACAUGGUUAG
rnacentral:rRNA from 1 species